CCCUUAGAUGUUCUGGGCUGCACACGUGCUACACUGGCAGGUUCAGCGAGCUUCAUGCCCUGAUCUGAAAGGAAUGGGAAAUCUUUUCAAAACCUGCCGUGCUUGGGAUAGAUGUUUGCAAUUAUUCAUCUUCAACGAGGAUUGCCUUGUAAGCGCACGUCAUCAGCGUGCAUUGAAUACGACCCUGUAUUCUGUACACACCGCCCGUCGCUCCUACCGAUUGAAGUUUUCGGUGAGUUGACAGGAGGAUUUUUUUGAAACUGGUUCGCCAGUGGAUUUUAGAUCCAAAUGCCAACGAAUCUAUGGCUUUAGAGGAAGGAGAAGUCGUAACA
rnacentral:rRNA from 1 species